rnacentral:rRNA from 1 species
UCCAGACUCCUACGGGAGGCAGCAGUGGGGGAUAUUGCACAAUGGGGGAAACCCUGAUGCAGCGACGCCGCGUGUGGGAAGACGGUCUUCUGGAUUGUAAACCACUGUCCCCAGGGACGAAAAUGACGGUACCUGGGGAGGAAGCUCCGGCUAACUACGUGCCAGCAGCCGCGGUAAUACGUAGGGAGCAAGCGUUGUUCGGAAUUACUGGGUGUAAAGGGAGCGCAGGCGGCACGGCAAGCCUGAUGUGAAAGCCCGCGGCCCAACCGCGGGACUGCAUUGGGAACUACCGGGCUGGAGUGCCGGAGAGGUAGGCGGAAUUCCUAGUGUAGCGGUGAAAUGCGUAGAUAUUAGGAGGAACACCAGUGGCGAAGGCGGCCUACUGGACGGUGACUGACGCUGAGGCUCGAAAGCGUGGGGAGCAAACAGGAUUAGAUACCCCGGUA